GGGUCAGUACGUUGGUCGUGCCCCCGGUACGUACUGGUCUCACUGAUUCCUCCUUCCUGAAGACCCGUAAUGCCAUUAAUUUGGUGUUGCGGGGAAACAGGACUGUUACUUUGAAAAAAUUAGAGUGUUUAAAGCAAGCUAACGCUUGAAUACAUUAGCAUGGAAUAAUGAAAUAGGACGAUCGAUCCUAUUUUGUUGGUUUCUAGGAUUGACGUA
rnacentral:rRNA from 1 species